rnacentral:lncRNA from 1 species
UGUGACUCUACCUCCCAGCUUCAGUCAAUCUGUAGAGUGAACCAUACUACAUUUUCAUCUAAUUAUUGCUGAAGAUUUUACACUAAAAUUGCAGAAGCUCCGAAUACAGAGCUCACGUCCUGAAUCCCACAAGACCUCCCAGAAAGCUUUUCUUAUUAACAAGUCUCUGGCUUCAACACACCUGCAACAGAAACGGGGCGACAGAGCACAGGUAGCCAACACCGGGCAGCCAAAAAGCCCAGCCCCCCGGUACAGAACCACAACCCGCCUGUACAACGGACAAGGCUUCAUCAGGAGCUGAUCCCUUGCGCUGCCACCAGGGUCAGCGGCUCCGGCAACCAACACCCACAUCCCGUCACUGCUGGUUUUCUCCCCGGGGUGCUCAUGGUGGCUGGGGCACCCCAAAGGCACUUACUGGCUCCACCCGGGGGGUCACUUUCUUCUGCUGCCCUGCCCCUGCCCCUGCGCCAGGGGCCCCUCCGCACCUCCUUCCAAUACUUGUGCCAACUGGUAGAACAACUUCCCAUUUUAGCCAAAUCAUAAGCCUGGGUUUGUGAUGCAUAAGCCAGAAUGGAGAACCCUGAAUGUUAUGUAGUGAAAUAAUCCGUCACAUAAAUGCGUUAGUUUGAAUAUGGAGUAGACAUCAGACGACAUUAUGAAAUUAUUGAUGAUUUUCUUAGGUGUGAUAAUAGUGCUACAGUAGUUAGGAAAAUCUAAAUACACACUCCUGUAGGUGGAGAUGGGUAAGUUCUACGUAGCAAAAUAUAAAUAUUGAAUCUAGAUGAAGCGUAUGGCUGUUCAUUACACUGUUAUUCCAGCUUUCUCACGAUUUGAACAUUUUCUUUAAAAAAAAAAAGAUUUUCUUUAUUUACUUGAGAGCAAGUGAGAAACCACAAGUGGGGGGAGUGGCAGAGGCCUAGGAAGAAGCAGACCCCCACUGAACAGGAAGGCCCAUGCCAUGUGGGGCUCUGAGCCCAGGGCUCCGGGAUCAUGACGCUGCACCCGCUGAGCCACCAAGGUGUGCCCUACUUUGAACAUUUUCAUAAGAAAAAAACUGCAAUUAGCAAACAGCCAAAUAAAUACUAUUAUUUUAAUGAUCUAAUGCUUUUUAUAACCAUAAUUUAUAGUUAGAAAAAAAUAAACUAUUACGUGAAGAUGUCUCACGUCAGGAUAACCUAAUCAUUGAGAAAUCUAAGAGAAGAUGCUGGCAGGAAGUGACAGCUGUGCUCUGCGGGGGUUGGGGCCUGGCUGGCCUCACAGCCCUCAGGGAGGGCAGGGCAGGACCGUUCUUCACCACUGUGUGGGGCGAGCAGAGGCCAAGAGGAAGACGAAGGCGGGGGAGACGUCUGUCUAAGGAUGUUCAAUGCAGCAGUUUAUAAAGGAAAACAACUGGCAACGGACCAACUGCCUCUCACUUGGGGGUUGAUAAAGCCACAUGGUGGAAGGAUACUCAGCCAUCACCACUUAGGAUAUAGAUCAUAUACGUUGCCCCUGAAAUAUGUCCGUAAUUGAAAAAGGCACCUUAGGUAAUGACAGGGAGACAUGAUAACUCUUUUCUUUUUUUUUGGUCUUUACUUUUAUUUCCCAAAAG